rnacentral:rRNA from 1 species
UCCGGAGGAUGCAAGCGUUAUCCGGAAUGAUUGGGCGUAAAGCGUCCGCAGGUGGCAAUGUAAGUCUGCUGUCAAAGCGUCUGGCUCAACCAGAUAAAGGCAGUGGAAACUACAUAGCUAGAGUAAGGUAGGGGUAGAGGGAAUUCCUGGUGUAGCGGUGAAAUGCGUAGAGAUCAGGAAGAACACCGGUGGCGAAAGCGCUCUGCUGGACCUUAACUGACACUGAGGGACGAAAGCUAGGGGAGCGAAUGGG